UUUAAAUUACUUUUCAGGCGAUCAUUUCUAAGUUCUUGAACAUGCGAAAUGUGUUUCUAAAGUUGUUGAUUCUCGCAACCCCACGAAGGAUUAGACGUGAAUAUUCCCGUCUGAGCGCGAGCGGGCUUUUGAGUAAGAUUCAGUUCAUCCCUCUCUGCCAUAAUGACCGUUGUCUUUGCUCCUUGGGAGAGCAUUGGGGAGGGAAUGGACCAGAGUGGU
rnacentral:snoRNA from 1 species